rnacentral:rRNA from 1 species
GGGGGAUUAUAAUGUAAGGUAACUUUAAGAACUUAACUGAAUAAAAUCCUUAGUAUUUAAAAAAAAAAAGAAGUGGAGCUUGCGGCUUAAUUUGACUCAACAACGGGAAAAUUUUACCAGGUCCAACUUAUCGAGGUAAGACAGAUUGAUAGCUCUUUCUCAAAUUUAAGGGUUAGUGGUGCAUGGCCGUUCUUAGUUCGUGGAAUGAUUUGUCUGGUUAAUUCCGAUAACGAACGUGACUCAAACAUGCUAAACUAGAACGCUGUCAGCAGUGCGCCUCCGGGCGACCUGACGUUACAGCCCGGCGGCGCCUUCACGGGCGGUCGUCGGCUACGUUUGCCCUGCUUAGCGGAACAACUUGUGUUUAGCAAGCUGAGAAUGAGCGAUAACAGGUCCGUGAUGCCCUUAGAUGUUCCUGGGCUGCACGCGUGCUACAAUGUGGGGUCGCAAGCGUGUUUCUCGCCAAUAGGCGCCCCCAUUCCGAGAGGAACGGGAAAUCACUAAAAAGCGCCCAUCUAGUCGGGAUGGGGACUGCAACGGUCCCAUGAACCUGGAAUUUCUAGUAAGCACUAGUCAUUAGCUAGUGCUGAUUACGUCCCUGCCCUUUGUAACACACCGCCCGUCGCUACUAACCGAUGGAUUAUUUAGUGAGGUUCUGGAGGCUUACCUUCCGCGGUUCCUUCGUGAGCUGCAGCUGGCAUGGCUGAAGUUGACACGAACUUGUAGAUUUAGAGGAAGUAAAAGUCGUAACAAGGUUUCCGUAGGUGAACCUGCGCGGAAG